AUGGAGAACGUCUCGUUCACAAAGAGGUGCCUUAGAACUUUCUGUGGAAAGCUUAUUAAGGAGCAGGCGGAUGAUGAUGUGCGGAAGACUAUGAAUGCCUUCUCUGAGCUGGGAUCAAAUGAUCCCGAGUUUCCGUAUGUUAAAGAAACCAAGAUAAAGACCCUGUUGUGGACUAAUGGUAGAAGUAAGAUGCAAUACCACUAUUUCGGGAAUGUGAUAACGUUCGACACUACUUACAAGACAAAUCUGUACGACAUGCCUUUCGGGCUAUUCAUGGGGGUGAACAAUCACUUCCAGAGUAUAAUCAUGGGCGGAGUCAUGAUGAGAGAAGAAACGAUUGAGAGUUUCAAAUGGGUAUUUACCGAGUUCAUUAGGAUGAUGCGGGGCUAG
rnacentral:rRNA from 1 species